AGAGAGAGACAUGCGCGCAUAUCAAUAAGCGGAGGAAAAGAAACUAACAAGGAUUCCCCUAGUAACGGCGAGUGAAGCGGGAAGAGCUCAAAUUUGAAAUCUUAAAGGGUUUCCCUUUACGAAUUGUAGUUUAAAGAAGUGUUUUCUGUUGAGGUUUUGGUAAAAGUUCUUUGGAAUAGGACAUCAUAGAGGGUGAGAAUCCCGUAUUUGACCUUUACUUUCAACUUUGUGAUACACUUUCAAAGAGUCGGAUUGUUUGGGAAUGCAGUCCAAAAUGGGUGGUAAAUUUCAUCUAAAGCUAAAUAUUGGCGAGAGACCGAUAGCGAACAAGUACCGUGAGGGAAAGAUGAAAAGAACUUUGAAAAGAGAGUUAAACAGUACGUGAAAUUGUCAAAAGGGAAGCGUUUGACACCAGUGUUGUUUUUCUGAAAAUCAAUUAAAGAACUGUUUAGUGCUAAGUUGUUUAGACUUUAUCAGCUAACUGUUUAGUUUUGAGCUUUUCUUUAAUGCACUUUUCAGUUAACAAGUCAACAUCAAUUUCUUUUGCUGUAAAAAAGCUUGAGGAAGGUGGCUUGAGAUUCGUCUUAAGUGUUUAUAGCCUCUUGCCUAUGCAGUCGGAGAGAUUGAGGUCUGCAGCGUAGAUCCUUCGGGGCUAAAUGCAUUUGUGCUAAGUUAUAGCAUUUUAUAGACAACUUGUUGACUAUGAUUUGUCUUGUAGCUUACUCGCUUAUGUUAUUUUACCUACGCUUAGGAUGUUGAGCGCAUGUCUCUCUCU
rnacentral:rRNA from 1 species